rnacentral:rRNA from 1 species
GCAUAACGCGAAGAACCUUACCCACCUUUGACAUGUACGGAAUCCUUUAGAGAUAGAGGAGUGCUCGAAAGAGAGCCGUAACACAGGUGCUGCAUGGCUGUCGUCAGCUCGUGUCGUGAGAUGUUGGGUUAAGUCCCGCAACGAGCGCAACCCUUGCCAUUAGUUGCUACGAAAGGGCACUCUAAUGGGACUGCCGGUGACAAACCGGAGGAAGGUGGGGAUGACGUCAAGUCCUCAUGGCCCUUAUAGGUGGGGCUACACACGUCAUACAAUGGCUGGUACAAAGGGUUGCCAACCCGCGAGGGGGAGCUAUCCACUAAAGACACGUCGUAGUCCGGACGUCGCAGUCUGCAACUACGACUGCGUGAAGUACGGAAGUACGCUAGUAAUACGUGGAGUCAGAAUAGUCACGGUGAA